rnacentral:rRNA from 1 species
GGACUACACGGGUAUCUAAUCCUGUUUGCUCCCCACGCUGUCGCGCCUCAGUGUCAGCCACACCCCAGCAAGCCGCCUUCGCCACCGGUGUUCUUCCGGAUCUCUACGCAUUCCACCGCUACACCCGGAAUUCCACUUGCCUCUAGUGUGCUCUAGCUCAGCAGUCGGUCCGGCAGACCCGGGGUUGAGCCCCGGGCUUUCACCGCCCCCUUACCAAGCCACCUACGCGCCCUUUACGCCCAGUGAUUCCGGACAACGCUCGCACCCUCCGUAUUACCGCGGCUGCUGGCAC